rnacentral:lncRNA from 1 species
CCACUUUCGAACCCUUUCUAGGUAAAGAAAAUUGGUGUUCGCCUUUUGCAAUUUCUCUUUGCCGUCUUUCAGUCUCUUCUGGGUUCUUCAUUUUUUCUCUGCUUUAUUUGUUUCUCCUUGUGAAAUUAUUGAGUUCUGUUGUUUCUAUCGUGGUCUGGAAACCAGCGAACAUACCAGUACCACGGUGAAAUAGGAUAUGUGUACUAUCCUAUAAACGACUGGAAGCCGUCGAGUUUGGCUGAGGGGGCUAUUGAACUAUUAUUGUCGAUUUUGAUGGUAAUUUUUUUAUUAUUUCAACAAAGAAAAGUUAUACAGUUUGAGUAUCUUCUUAGUGGGUGCUUUUUUCGUUUUUUGGGUAUUAAAUGAUCUACUAGAGACUAAGGUAAGGUGUUUUGGGCAUACUUCUGUCUUUUGGUUGCAUUUUUACCUGGGUGAGAUUAAUAGUAUUUCUUCUGCACUUAGGACUGCAUUGAAAACUUAAAAGUUAUUUUUACAACGUUCCGGCCUACUGAUGUUUCCUAUUCUCCAAUUUACAUAUAAAAAAACUGUCUAGGUCAAUAUAAUGAUCAUUCUGUAAGGAGAUUCGUAAUAUUCUUUAAUUUUAGUUGUUAUCCAAGGACAAUUGUGAUUGUGCCUAUUCCAUUUGCAGUUCAUUUUGUUCCCUUAAGCUGAAAGCAGAUUGUUUUAUUUUGGUAAAUAUGACAAAUUUUUAGGACUCUGCUAAUGCCCCAAAGAACAUCAAAGCUGAGAGGUGGAGGUGCAUCGUUGUUUAUGUGUUAUCAUUGUCAUCAAGCCCAUGGCAGACAUCAUUAAAUAUAAAACUAACUGGUUAAGCAUUUCAUAUUAGAAAUAUUUCUACAAUGACCGAUAAAUAAAGGUAUUGUCCUUGAUGCAUUAUUUUCAGCUGAUAUUUGCAAUUUCUCUCAAAUAUAGGUGUCCCAAACUUGGAGAACCCAUGAUACUGUAAGUAUAUUUACUUACUCUUUCUUAUGUCAUGUUAGGUAACAGUUUAUUAAAAUUGUUGAGACAUAGUAGUGAUACUGAAUACUAGAAUUGCCCUGAGUCAAUAUGUUGUCCUAUAUACGUUUGAGUCAUAAUUCAUCUGCCUCCCUAAGAUGUCAUAAGAAAAUAAUGUAGAGAACUACUAUGAUUUCUAUUUGAUCCUAAGGUAAACUAUGGUGUUAAACCUAUUUCACUCCAUAUGAUUUUUGGUGGAUGUGUAACAGGCUGAUGAUUAAUUCCUGUUGGUCGAGCAUUCUGAUGUAUACUUCUUUAUCGAAGGUUAGACUUCAAUAGUUUUUAUUUUCUGGAGGGAAAUUUUGAUUCUUGACAUUACUUUUUCAUCAAAUGUGACGCUAAAUAAGAGCUUUUUAUUGCUAUAUUUCAGGUAAUUUGGGGUCAUUCUCAUGCUUAUAAUGAUGAUAUCUUUGGUCACUACAAAAAGGGAUUGUGAGUAAAUCUUGAAGACAAUCAUUACAUUAUCUAUUCUGCAUAGGUAGUAGGUCUUCUAUUUAGCCUGCAAUUGAAUCUACAUAUCCAUCAAAGAUGUACUAUUGCAAAUGCCAAGGGUUAAGUUUGAAGGGAGCGAACAAGAAAGGAUAUUGAUGAGAUAAAGUAUCCGAGGAACUUAACAUAAUAUGGUGUUCAAUGAAUUUGCUUCAGUGAGUUUUGCAACGUUUAGAAGAGGAUGUUUAUUUGUUCAAUUGACCAUGUGAAAAAGUCAAAUGCAUGAAACGAACCUUCAUUUUAUGUGGAGACUGAAGCUGAAAGUUGAAACUUGCCUAGAAACUCACUCCACACUUGCAUUCUAAGUUAAUUCUUUUAAUCAUCUCAUCGGCCUGCCUUUUUAAGAGAAAAAAGAGGGAUAAUAAUCAUAUAGCGAGAAUUCCACCAACCUUGACUCAGACAGUGAUUGGCUUGUUAAGCACCCGAAGUGGAAGAGCUAAGAAUGACACUUUUUUCUUGCUUAUAAGUUAAAUUUGUAAGGCUAUUGGUUUUUUUACUGGUUUUAUUAACGUGUUAUGGUCAAUUUUAAUGUGAAGGUAUGUACUAACUCAACUUAUUAUUCUGUGCAGUUGGAAAAAGCACAUGAAACUAGAAAUAAGAACCCAAUGUGAAUGCACCUUUUAAUCACAAAACAAGGUAUGUUUUACAUGUUACACAAAAAAAUUGAAGGUCAUAUAAAUCUAUAGAUGCAAAAAAAUUGAAGGUCAUAUAAAUCUAUAGAUGCAAAAAAUUGCAUUCUAACAUUGUCAGAGACUCAAAGCUUUUUGGUAAAACAUGAAAUUAUUGUAGGGAAAGACAAUGUCUUGGUGAAUUAAUUUGAAUAAAGUAAAUUUUAGAAAUUCUUAACUACUUUUUAAGUCACUUCGCUAGAUUUUCUUUACUGAUCUUUCAUUCAAAUGCUAACUCACAUCUUUUGAUGCCAAUUCAGAAUCUCAAUAAACUCUAACCUAAGAUUAACUCCCUCUCCGCUGGUCACUAAACCAUUAAUAAAGUUAAAACAGGAAGGUGGCCGGGGGGGGGGGGGGGAGGGGAGAGAGAGCAGAAAAUGUUAAUAUGAGUAUUCCUCUUCAGCUCGCUAAAAGUUGGAAUAUGUCAAAAGAAACUCACGUCUGCUCCUCAUGCAAGACAUUAUCUUCCUGCUGCUAUUUUAGGAACUGGUGUAACGAUGAUUCGUAUUCAGGGUAAAAACAACCAAAGCAUGCAUUGCAUGAAACAACAUAAUUAUAAGUUUAUUUUAAUAAUAUUAAUGAAUUUAUAAUUCUUAUAUAGUCACCUUGUUGUAACGUAGGCUUUGAAACUAGAACAACAAGAUUAUCAUGUCUUUCAUGAUCUAGCUAGGUUUUUCAUUUCUUAAGUGAAAUGCACAACAAAAUGAGGUUUCUACUGAAGCUAUUUUCAUAAUGGGAUAUAGUAUAACCAAGUGAAGUCUGAGCUUUAGCUCAGCUUUAUUGAGAGUUGAGAGUAACAUUUAGCUUCCCCAAAUAUUAGCUCCCUGCACUUUGCUUUGUUCUAUUCGAAUAUACCCCGCCUAUGCCCUACUUAUUUUUGAACUAUCUGAACAAACAUGGAGUUUUGGAGUUUCAUGAUUUAUUCAACUGCUUGAGAAGAUAAAAAGUGCAAAGGAGAGUCAAUGUUAUCUGCUUAGAUAAGGUUAUGAAUUACAGCUCAAUUUUUGAGUUUCAUGUACCUAACGCGUAGGCUCUGCAAAUUUUAUAAGCCUUGGGGAGGAAAAUAUGUUUACGCCAAUUUUGCAUCACUAAGAUGUCCCAAAGUUCCGCCUUGACAUAUAUUGUUUGAGGUAAGAUGUGAAUCCUAUUCAUGUAUUAAAUUACAUACACUUGUUACAUGCAAACAAGAAUUUAUAACCCUUAUAUCGUUAGUGUGCUUUUGCAGACUUUGGAUUUGCUAUAUCAUUACGAAAAAGCUGGUGUCUAGGUGCUCUAUGCACGUGCUAGAUUCAUGUCAGUUGUAUGCUCUCCAUGCAUUGUCCUUGGCACAAGCUUUGGCAAGUCCGGUUGUGAAGUUCUAAAUAUAGGGUUGGCUUAUGUAGCCAAAUUAGUGCAAUGUUUUUCUAUGAGGUUUGUAGCGUACUUCUGUUAAUUUAGCCAUUUUAUCUUUACAGUAAGAUCGACAGAGAAAGAUCAUGAAAUGUGUGAAGAUUGAAUGUCUCUUUAGCUAUAACCUCCUUCCAAUUUGUACAUAAAAAUUCUAAUUAUUUAUUUUCUUUCUACUACACUAUUUACUGACCAAGGAAUUAUAUGCUGAUUUCUCGUUUUGAGUACAGAAUUAGUGGUGAUGGUGAAUCCAGCGACAAGGUUUUGGGGUGACCGUUGAAAGUAAAGCGAACUCCAACUUUCUGGAAUAACUAUUUGACUAUCUUUGGUAGUUAAAGAAUAACGUG